UUCUACGGCCAUGCCACCCUGUGCAUGCCCAGUCUCGUCUGAUCUUGGAAGCUAAGCAGGAUCGGGCCUGGUUAGCACUUGGAUGGGAGACCACCUGGGAAUACCAGGUGCUGUAGAUG
rnacentral:rRNA from 1 species